ensembl:lncRNA novel transcript
ACUCCGUAGUGUGCACUUGGUGAGGGCAGCAGCUCGCCACAGCUGCCAGCCGUCUGUCCAUUCACCCAUCUGUCCAUCUGGCAGCCCGCUGUUCAGACCCGUCUGUCUGUCCGCCCAUCUGUAAGCCCAUCUCUGUCCCAUUGUCUAUCUGACCAUCUUUCUCUUACUGUCCUCUUUGUCUAGCUAUCUGGCCUAUCUGUCGAUCCAUCUUCGUGUCUGUCUUCAGCCCCCACCUGUUUGUCCAUCUGUCCAAUUACCUGUGAGUCUAUCUAUGCACCUUCUUGUCCAUUCAUCUGCCCACCCAUCUGUCCCUCCGUCUGCCCACCGGCCUCCCCUCUCCUUCUGGGCCGCAGAGCCAUGGCCCAGGACUGCAGAGCCAUGGUUGGCCUGGUCCUGCUGGGGCUGGGGCUUGUGCUGGCUGUCAUUGUGCUGGCUGUGGUCCUCUCUCGACACCAGGCCCCAUUUGACCCCCGGCCUUUGCCCACGCCGCUGUUGCUGCUGACUCCAAGGUCUGCUCGGAUAUUGGACGCUGGACCCGCAGGCCCUGCAGGACAGAGACUGGCAGCGCGCCGUCAUCGCCAUGAAUGGGAUCGAAGUAAAGCUCUCGGUCAAGUUCAACAGCAGGGAGUUCAGCUUGAAGAGGAUGCCGUCCCGAAAACAGACAGGGGUCUUCGGAGUCAAGAUUGCUGUGGUCACCAAGAGAGAGAGGUCCAAGGUGCCCUACAUCAUGCGCCAGUGCGUGGAGGAGAUCGAGCGCCGAGGCAUGGAGGAGGUGGGCAUCUACCGCGUGUCCGGUGUGGCCACGGACAUCCAGGCACUGAAGGCAGGCUUCAACGUCAGUGAGUGUCGGCCUGCGCAGGACGGGAUGGAGGUGUGGGCAGUGGUGUCCGCGAUGAGAUCUCAGAGUGCUCCAUGGCCCAGGCAUGUCACAUCCUUCUCUGUGUCUUUUCUUCAUUUACUGUUUUAUUAUUUUAAAAAAAGAGAAAACAAGAGUUGUACAAACAGCUUCUAUAGAAGCCAGUUUUUACACCAUCGUACCCACUCAUGCCACUUGGUGGAGUGGACCAGGGGCUUCUGUGGGGACUUGGCCUUCCUGCCUUGGGGGUGGACAGGAGGUGGAAGCCCAGGACUCAGUGCGGUCUGUCCACUGCCCUGUAUGAGGAUGUGGUGGGCAGAGGGCACUGAUGAAAUUCAGCGCAGGCCGGGGCUGCAGCAUCUCCGCCUCCAUCUCACCAACCCUCACAGGCCUUGAAGGACCCAGACUGGCCUCAAAUGCCAGGGGAGGGCACUGAGACCCCAGAGGGUCCUUCCCAGCAUCUUCAAAGCAACAGGAUUUUGUGCCUGCAGACCCUUCUUUGCAGCACACACCACCCACCCUGACCAGGACCCCUAGAAUGCCCAGCAUCCCUGGGAGGGCCCUGUGGUAGUUUCAGCUCCCUCUGGGGGCCCAGAAUGAA